CCUAACACAUGCAAGUCGAACGGUAACAGGAAGAAGCUUGCUUCUUUGCUGACGAGUGGCGGACGGGUGAGUAAUGUCUGGGAAACUGCCUGAUGGAGGGGGAUAACUACUGGAAACGGUAGCUAAUACCGCAUAACGUCGCAAAACCAAAGAGGGGGACCUUCGGGCCUCUUGCCAUCGGAUGUGCCCAGAUGGGAUUAGCUAGUAGGUGGGGUAACGGCUCACCUAGGCGACGAUCCCUAGCUGGUCUGAGAGGAUGACCAGCCACACUGGAACUGAGACACGGUCCAGACUCCUACGGGAGGCAGCAGUGGGGAAUAUUGCACAAUGGGCGCAAGCCUGAUGCAGCCAUGCCGCGUGUAUGAAGAAGGCCUUCGGGUUGUAAAGUACUUUCAGCGGGGAGGAAGGGAGUAAAGUUAAUACCUUUGCUCAUUGACGUUACCCGCAGAAGAAGCACCGGCUAACUCCGUGCCAGCAGCCGCGGUAAUACGGAGGGUGCAAGCGUUAAUCGGAAUUACUGGGCGUAAAGCGCACGCAGGCGGUUUGUUAAGUCAGAUGUGAAAUCCCCGGGCUCAACCUGGGAACUGCAUCUGAUACUGGCAAGCUUGAGUCUCGUAGAGGGGGGUAGAAUUCCAGGUGUAGCGGUGAAAUGCGUAGAGAUCUGGAGGAAUACCGGUGGCGAAGGCGGCCCCCUGGACGAAGACUGACGCUCAGGUGCGAAAGCGUG
rnacentral:rRNA from 1 species